CGGUCAAUGGCAACCGUCUCAAAGGCUCUCCGCAUCAUUGGAUAUUCCUCCAGGACCUCAUUGAAAUUGUCCACGGAUAGUGAAUAAAGACGACAAUAUGUAUCAGCUCGAACACUGGCAGUGCGGCGUCCCUUGGGUACUUUAUUUCACCUACUGAAGAGGAAAAGUGACAGUAAUGCUCCCCCUCACGGGCAGAUUGGAAAACUAUUUUCAAUUUCAACAUUAUAAAGAGUAUGUCCCAGGAAAUAAAAUUUGACCCACCACCCACCAAAUUAAAAAUAUACUUUUAAUAAACCUUAGGGUAUGAGAUACA